AGGGCACCCUAUGCAAACCUACUUCUAUUUGUCUUCCUCAAAAGUCUCCAAGCUAUUCAUCUCCAGACACAAAACUUGUUUGUGACGUCGAUGCAUCAACUUGCUCUUUUCAUAACAUGACAAUGGAUAUUGUGUCUAAACUGGGUUUUAUCUUCAUGUUUGCUCUCACAGAAUUCUGUUGGUGUCAAACACUGACUGAGUCUGAGUCAGUGGUCAUUAAACCUGGAGGAUCUCACAGACUCAUCUGUACAUUCUCUGGAUUUAGUAGUAACCCAGACUUAGCUUGGAUCAGACAGACUGCAGGAGGAGGUCUGGAGUGGCUGGCAUACAUCUCUGGUGGUAGUAGUUAUAUAUACUACUCUCAGUCUGUUCAGGGACGCUUCACCAUCUCCAGAGACAACAGCAAGAAACAGAUGUAUCUGCAGAUGAAUAAUAUGAAGAAUGAAGACACUGCUGUAUAUUAUUGUGCAAGAGAGACACAGUGAUGAAUACA